GGCGAACGGGUGAGUAACACGUAGGGAACCUGCCCGCGCACCGGGAAUACGCUCUGGAAACGGAGAACAAAUCCCGAUGUACAGGAAGGAGGCAUCUUCUUUCUGUGAAACAUCCUUUAGGGGAUGGGGCGCGGAUGGACCUGCGGUGCAUUAGUUGGUUGGCGGGGUAAAGGCCCACCAAGACGAUGAUGCAUAGCCGGCCUGAGAGGGCGGACGGCCACAUUGGGACUGAGACACGGCCCAGACUCCUGCGGGAGGCAGCAGUAGGGGAUUUUCGUCAAUGGGCGCAAGCCUGAACGAGCGAUGCCGCGUGAGUGAAGAAGGCCUUCGGGUCGUAAAGCUCUGUUGCGGGGGAAAAAAGGCAGCAUCAGGAAAUGGGUGCUGACUGAUGGUGCCCCGCCAGAAAGUCACGGCUAACUACGUGCCAGCAGCCGCGGUAAUACGGAGGAUGCGAGCGUUAUCCGGAUUUAUUGGGUUUAAAGGGUGCGUAGGCGGGAUGCCAAGUCAGCGGUAAAAAAGCGGUGCUCAACGCCGUCGAGCCGUUGAAACUGGCGUUCUUGAGUGGGCGAGAAGUAUGCGGAAUGCGUGGUGUAGCGGUGAAAUGCAUAGAUAUCACGCAGAACUCCGAUUGCGAAGGCAGCAUACCGGCGCCCUACUGACGCUGAGGCACGAAAGCGUGGGUAUCGAACAGGAUUAGAUACCCUGGUAGUCCACGCAGUAAACGAUGAAUGCUAACUGUCCCGUGCGAAUGAGCGCUGGGGCGGACAGCGAAAGCGUUAAACAUUCCCCCGGGGGAGUACGCCGGCAACGGUGAAACUCAAAAGGAAUUGACGGGGGCCCGCACAAGCGGAGGAACAUGUGGUUUAAUUCGAUGAUACGCGAGGAACCUUACCCGGGCUCAAACGCAGGCUGACGGGUCCCGAAAGGGGCCUUUCUUCGGACAUUCUGCGAGGUGCUGCAUGGUUGUCGUCAGCUCGUGCCGUGAGGUGUCGGCUUAAGUGCCAUAACGAGCGCAACCCCUGUCCACAGUUGCCGGCAGGUAAAGCUGGGGACUCUGUGGAGACUGCCGGCGCAAGCUGCGAGGAAGGCGGGGAUGACGUCAAAUCAGCACGGCCCUCACGUCCGGGGCGACACACGUGUUACAAUGGCAGGUACAGCGGGAUGCCACGGGGCGACCCGGCGCUGAACCCGAAAACCUGUCUCAGUUCGGAUUGGAGUCUGCAACCCGACUCCAUGAAGCUGGAUUCGCUAGUAAUCGCGCAUCAGCCACGGCGCGGUGAAUACGUUCCCGGGCCUUGUACUCACAAACCGUCAAG
rnacentral:rRNA from 1 species